CCUACGGGAGGCAGCAGUGAGGAAUAUUGGACAAUGGAAGGAAUUCUGAUCCAGCCAUGCCGCGUGCAGGAAGACUGCCCUAUGGGUUGUAAACUGCUUUUAUACAGGAAGAAAAAAGUGUACGUGUACACUAUUGACGGUACUGUACGAAUAAGGAUCGGCUAACUCCGUGCCAGCAGCCGCGGUAAUACGGAGGAUCCAAGCGUUAUCCGGAAUCAUUGGGUUUAAAGGGUCCGUAGGCGGGAGAUUAAGUCAGUGGUGAAAGUUUGUGGCUCAACCAUAAAAUUGCCAUUGAUACUGGUUUUCUUGAGUUAUUGUGAAGUGGUUAGAAUGAGUAGUGUAGCGGUGAAAUGCAUAGAUAUUACUCAGAAUACCGAUUGCGAAGGCAGAUCACUAACAAUGAACUGACGCUGAUGGACGAAAGCGUASGUAGCGAACAGGMUUAGAUAGCCCUGSUAGUCUAUCGCCGUMAAUCGAUGGUUACUAGCUGUUCGGGCAAAUUGAUSUCUGAGUGGCUAAGCGAAAGUG
rnacentral:rRNA from 1 species